ensembl:lncRNA
AGCCAUCCGCCAUGGCUGGUGGGUGAAAGACCCGAGCUAACAUGGGGUUAGCUCGUUAAAUUACAAUAAAGCCUCGUGCAGUUUGCAGCAAGCUCUCGAAUCCGCCUGGUGAUUGGGGUGACUGAGAACGUGGCCUGGGACCCCGGAUACUUGAGUUUUCGGGGGUCUAACAAUAUGAGGGAAGUAUCUCAUUUUAUUGUAACUUGUUAUGACUUGUUCUGAACUUGUUCAUAACUUGUUAUGACUCUUUUCUGAAGAGUAACGGAGGAGUGGAUCAGAAGGAGAGGACAGGUGGGGAAGGGACUUGCAGGAGAGGAGAGAGAGAGAGGAAACUGUGGAUGGGAGGUAAUAUAUGAAGGAAAAUGUGCCCAAAUUCUGAACCCCCAAAUCGCCAAGAGACCAAUUCCAAUACAAAAACAAAGAGUCUUUUAUUAUUAAUGAGUUAACUGUCUUAACUCAGGGCCCUUCAUUCAUUCAUCACUGAUGGAGUGAGAAGGACCAGGGGGGACUUCGAGGAGGGGAAUUUAUUGGGGUGUGCAAGGGGAGUGUCUAGGGGUACGCAACAGUCUCAGCAUUGGUGCACUUCCGGGCUUGGGCAACCUGUCCUGUGUUGAUUGGUCAACUGGUUGCUAUGGCCUAUAGGCCCUCCCAGGGUGGUUGUUAUGUUCUGCAUGUCCAGAGCCCUACAGCUAACUUCUGAUUGGUUGCUUGCCACGUGGACAGUAUCUGACCUCCUAGUGAUUAGGGCAGUUCCUGCAAGGUCAGAAGGCCAGAAACUAAGCACAUAUUGCUGAGUCAGGGGCCAUUGUCUUGCUGGAUCUUUUCUGCAGCCUGUCAUGGCUGCUAAAGCAGGGGGCUGAGUGAGGGUCUGGUCCCCUCAGAAAAAUAAAUGAAAAUAAAUGUAUGUAAAUGAAUAAAUUUGAAAUAAGGAUUAUAAGAGAACACUAUGAUAAAUUCUGCACCAACAUGUUACAGAACAUAAAUGUAAUAGACAGACUUUUAACAUUUUUUAUUUACUUGUUUUGUGUGUACGGGUGUUUUGUCUUCAUAUAAGUCUGUGAACCACAGAGGCCACAAGAGGGUAUCGGAUGACCUGGAAGUGGAAUUACAAACUGUGAACCUUCAGAGGCAUUUACAAAACCUAGCAGAGAGAAUGCCAUAAAUAGAGAACUGAACUCCAGUCCUAAAGAAGCCACUGGUCCACUGGGUUGAAGAUACCAUCAUUGUAGACUUCUGUCAUUCUCAAAUAGACUAACAAGAAGUGUUUGCAGAGCUCUUAUUGGACAGCUGUAACGGACAGAUUGGUGAUAGAUGGCCCUCAACUGAAGAAUGGAUGGAGAAAAUGUGGUACAUUUACACAAUGGAGUACUACUCAAUGGAAAAAAAAAAAUGGAAUCUUGAAAUUCACAGGCAAAUGGAUGGAACUAGAAAAAAAACAUCCUGAGUGAGGUAACCCAGUCGCAAAAAGACAAAAAUGAGCCUUCAUCCAGUAGCUGAUGGAAGCAGACUCAGACACCCACAGCUAAACACUGAGCUGAACUCUGGAAUCCAGUUGCAGAGAGGGAGGAGUGAUGAGCAAAGGGGUCAAACCAGGCUGGAGGAACCCACAG